GCUUCGAUUACCAGUGUUAUUGAGAGGGUUUUGCUUAUUUUUUAUAUUUUUUUACUACCUUU
rnacentral:tRNA from 1 species